rnacentral:rRNA from 1 species
GGGGGGGGGGGGGGGGGGGGGGGGGGCGGGGGGGGGGGGGGGGGGGGGCGGGCGGGGGGGGGGACCGGGGCGGGGGGGCGGGACGCGUGGGCAAGCUGCCUGGCACGGGGGGGGAGCGCGCAGAAGGUGGGGUUAAUACCCCAUAAUAUUAUUGGAUGGCAUCAUUUGAUAAUUAAAACUGCGGUGGUGAAAGAUGGGCAUGCGUCCUAUUAGCUAGUUGGAGUGGUAACGGCACCCCAAGGCUACGAUAGGUAGGGGUCCUGAGAGGGAGAUCCCCCACACUGGUACUGAGACAGGGACCAGACUCCUACGGGAGGCAGCAGUGAGGAAUAUUGGUCAAGGGUCGGAAGACUGAACCAGCCAUGCCGCGUGCAGGAAGAAUGCCUUAUGGGUUGUAAACUGCUUUUAUAUGGGAAGAAUAAGGCGUACGUGUACGUUGAUGACGGUACCAUAUGAAUAAGCAUCGGCUAACUCCGUG